GAUGAACGCUGGCGGCGUGCCUAAUACAUGCAAGUCGAGCGAACAGAUGAGGAGCUUGCUCCUCUGACGUUAGCGGCGGACGGGUGAGUAACACGUGGAUAACCUACCUAUAAGACUGGGAUAACUUCGGGAAACCGGAGCUAAUACCGGAUAAUAUAUUGAACCGCAUGGUUCAAUAGUGGAAGACGGUUUUGCUGUCACUUAUAGAUGGAUCCGCGCCGCAUUAGCUAGUUGGUAAGGUAACGGCUUACCAAGGCAACGAUGCGUAGCCGACCUGAGAGGGUGAUCGGCCACACUGGAACUGAGACACGGUCCAGACUCCUACGGGAGGCAGCAGUAGGGAGUCUUCCGCAAUGGGCGAAAGCCUGACGGAGCAACGCCGCGUGAGUGAUGAAGGUCUUCGGAUCGUAAAACUCUGUUAUUAGGGAAGAACAAAUGUGUAAGUAACUAUGCACGUCUUGACGGUACCUAAUCAGAAAGCCACGGCUAACUACGUG
rnacentral:rRNA from 1 species